rnacentral:lncRNA from 1 species
GGGAAGGUAAAAAUUAUUAAACAUAACAAAGGCCUAGAAGAAGUAACUUUUUCUUGCCAUUAACAUUUAUAAAAAGAUGUUAUCCUAUGGAAACCAGUUAAGAGGUUCCAAUAUGCAUAUAUUAUCAGGUUAUAUAUUCAGAUGCUAUGGUACCUUUAAAUCUCAUGAAGUUUAAUUCAUGUGAAGUUUAUAUCAAGAUUCUAUGGUUCCACCCUUAAAAUAUCAUGGGUACAAUCUUUAAAAUUCUCACUCUAGCCCACCACUUAUAUGUGGCGU